rnacentral:rRNA from 1 species
GAUGAACGCUGGCGGCGUGCUUAACACAUGCAAGUCGAACGGAAAGGCUCCUGCUUGCAGGGGUACUCGAGUGGCGAACGGGUGAGUAACACGUGGGUGAUCUGCCCUGCACUUCGGGAUAAGCCUGGGAAACUGGGUCUAAUACCGGAUAGGACGAUGGUUUGGAUGCCAUUGUGGAAAGUUUUUCGGUGUGGGAUGAGCUCGCGGCCUAUCAGCUUGUUGGUGGGGUAAUGGCCUACCAAGGCGUCGACGGGUAGCCGGCCUGAGAGGGUGUACGGCCACAUUGGGACUGAGAUACGGCCCAGACUCCUACGGGAGGCAGCAGUGGGGAAUAUUGCACAAUGGGCGCAAGCCUGAUGCAGCGACGCCGCGUGGGGGAUGACGACCUUCGGGUUGUAAACUCCUUUCGCUAGGGACGAAGCGCAAGUGACGGUACCUGGAGAAGAAGCACCGGCUAACUACGUG